rnacentral:rRNA from 1 species
GACGAACGCUGGCGGCGUGCCUAACACAUGCAAGUCGAACGAAGCAUUUGGAGCUGAUCUCUUCGGAGUGACGCACCUUAUGACUUAGUGGCGGACGGGUGAGUAACACGUGAGCAACCUGCCUUUCAGAGUGGAAUAACAGUUGGAAACGGGUGCUAAUACCGCAUAGUUUCUUUUUCCGCCUGGAAGAAGAAGGAAAGAUGGCCUUUGCGCUAUCACUGAGGGAUGGACCCGCGGCGUAUUAGUUAGUUGGUGGGGUAAUGGCCUACCAAGACGAUGAUACGUAGCCGACCUGAGAGGGUGAUCGGCCACAUUGGGACUGAGACACGGCCCAA